AGUGGCGAACGGGUGAGUAAUAUAUCGGAACAUGUCCGGAAGUGGGGGAUAACGUACCGAAAGGUACGCUAAUACCGCAUAUGCCCUGAGGGGGAAAGGGGGGGAUCGCAAGACCUCUCGCUUUCGGAGUGGCCGAUAUCGGAUUAGCUAGUAGGUGAGGUAAAGGCUCACCUAGGCGACGAUCCGUAGCUGGUCUGAGAGGACGACCAGCCACACUGGAACUGAGACACGGUCCAGACUCCUACGGGAGGCAGCAGUGGGGAAUUUUGGACAAUGGGCGAAAGCCUGAUCCAGCCAUGCCGCGUGAGUGAAGAAGGCCUUCGGGUUGUAAAGCUCUUUCAGCCGGAAAGAAAUUGCUUCUAUUAAUACUAGGAGUAGAUGACGGUACCGGAAGAAGAAGCACCGGCUAACUACGUGCCAGCAGCCGCGGUAAUACGGAGGGUGCGAGCGUUAAUCGGAAUUACUGGGCGUAAAGCGUACGCAGGCGGUUUGUUAAGCGAGAUGUGAAAGCCCCGGGCUCAACCUGGGAACUGCAUUUCGAACUGGCAAACUAGAGUGUGAUAGAGGGUGGUAGAAUUUCAGGUGUAGCGGUGAAAUGCGUAGAGAUCUGAAGGAAUACCGAUGGCGAAGGCAGCCACCUGGGUCAACACUGACGCUCAUGUACGAAAGCGUGGGGAGCAAACAGGAUUA
rnacentral:rRNA from 1 species